rnacentral:rRNA from 1 species
AGCGAACGCUGGCGGCAGGCCUAACACAUGCCAGUCGAACGAACCUUUCGGGGUUAGUGGCGGACGGGUGAGUAACACGUGGGAACGUGCCUUUAGGUUCGGAAUAACUCAGGGAAACUUGUGCUAAUACCGAAUGUGCCCUUCGGGGGAAAGAUUUAUCGCCUUUAGAGCGGCCCGCGUCUGAUUAGCUAGUUGGUUGAGGUAAUGGCUCACCAAGGCGACGAUCAGUAGCUGGUCUGAGAGGAUGAUCAGCCACAUUGGGACUGAGACACGGCCCAAAAUCCUACGGGAGGCAGGAGUGGGGGAUCUUGCGCAAUGGGCGGAAGGCUGACGCAGCCAUGCCGGGUGAAUGAUGAAGGUCUUAGGAUUGUAAAAUUCUUUCACCGGGGACGAUAAUGACGGUACCCGGAGAAGAAGCCCCGGCUAACUUCGUG